UCAUGUCGAUUCUAUAAAAUUCUAACAAAAACUCCCUUCACCCAACGAUGUCCAGAGUCCCUUCACUUAAGUUACAAAAUGACCUUGAUUCGGCAUUCUGUAAACAUUUCUCAGCGCGAGUGAUGAGAAGUGGACAGUGAGGCGGCCUAGGGAUUGACACACGCAACAAAAAUGUUAGUCGAGUUUUUCGAUUCAAGUUUUUUAUUUAAAAUAUUGGGAUUUUGGCACAAAACUUGAAGUCAUUAUUUAUUUCUUUAACUUAAAUGUCAUAAUCUGAACAAAUUAAGGCAGAUUUUACGUUAAAAACUAGAAAUCUCUAAUUCAUAGCAUAUACCUACAUAAUCUGUGCUGUUACGAACGAAACAAAAUGUCAAAUUUACUUGUUGAUUGUUUACGUUUGAUGUUAAUGAUGUUUGAGAUUGAGAAAAUCUUAAAUCAAAUGAGGCACGAUCCUCUCACCCAUCGUCAGUCCAAGUUGAAACUGUUCGAAUUUAUGUAAAAAAAAAGAAACCCUGGCUUAGCAAAGGGUUUCUUGAGAUACACACCAUUGAAGCCAUUUAACAGAAUAAAAAUACCACAUAACGAGGUUGGCAGCUUCAGUAGGAGGAACAAGCCGUGCGCUAAACACUAUAAACAUUACAAACAAUGAACAAAGGCCAAGCAUAACAUUCCACAACUCCUCCACGUACUGUUACUCCAACCGCCGUCUCAACAGCGAUCGGAAUAUGCGACAUUUACUGAGAGAUUCCUGAGGGUGGUAGAACAGCAGAACUUGCAGACAUUGUGUGGAACGCAAAGCGGAAAGAGAAGAGACACUGACUGAAGCCCUGACUGAACUGGGAAAAGGAUUGGAAGCUUUAGCAGAAGCUAAUAAAUGGAUUAAAGAUAAAAUAUUACUACAGCUUUAUUUGUUUAAUUUCUUUACUACAUAUUUCUAUUACUGUGCCCCUCAGAAAGUAAUGAUAAUUAGAGGUAGUCUUAAUAAUU